ensembl:lncRNA novel transcript
ACCUACUCCAUACCAGGCGGGGGCAGAGUCACAUGCAGUGAGAGGCACCCAGGCCCUGCAUUGGAUCCUCACGGCAGCCAGCCCUGAGGGCACCGCUGCUGCCCCACUUUCCAGACCGGGAAGCCGAGGCCCACAGAAGUUCCUAGCUCACAGCGCAGGAGCCCGACGCGGGCCGGGACCUUCCUUUCAGCGGAGCCCAGGCCGUGCUGCGGGAAACAGCCCACCGGGCAGGCCUGGGAGGGCCGCCUUAGCCGAGAGCAAAUGCAGGCAAGGGCUUUGCUUGUCUGGAAAAAAAAUUCCUGGAGUGGAAACCGCCCUUGUAGCAUCAGUGGAAAAGACUCAGGCGGAGACCUGGCAGUUGGGCUGGAAACUGACGAUGAGGAGAGUGAGAGAUAACUGCUCCCCAGUCCCCACUUCUGAGCUCGCAGCUUGCCCCGAGGGUGGGAGCUGGGGACUCAGGACCCGCCGGGAUCCGGCUUUCCGCCUGUGCUGUGGCAAUGAGUUUCCUGUGGCAAUAAAACAGAAGUUCAG